AUACGUAGGGUGCAAGCGUUAAUCGGAAUUACUGGGCGUAAAGCGUGCGCAGGCGGUUUUGUAAGACAGUGGUGAAAUCCCCGGGCCCAACCUGGGAACUGCCAUUGUGACGGCAAGGCUGGAGUGCGGCAGAGGGGGAUGGAAUUUCGCGUGUAGCAGGGGAAUGCGUAGAUAUGCGGAGGAACACCGAUGGCGAAGGCAAUCCCCUGGGCCUGCACUGACGCUCAUGCACGAAAGCGUGGGGAGCAAACAGGAUUAGAUACCCUGGUAGUCCACGCCCUAAACGAUGUCAACUGGUUGUUGGGGAUUUAUUUUCUCAGUAACGAAGCUAACGCGUGAAGUUGACCGCCUGGGGAGUACGGCCGCAAGGUUAAAACUCAAAUGAAUUGACGGGG
rnacentral:rRNA from 1 species